rnacentral:rRNA from 1 species
ACUCCUACGGGAGGCAGCGGUGGGGAAUAUUGCGCAAUGGGGGAAACCCUGACGCAGCAACGCCGCGUGUAUGAUGAAGGUCUUCGGAUUGUAAAGUACUGUCUUUGGGGAAGAAUGAUCGGAUUGAAAAUAUUGAUUCGAUAUGACGGUACCCAAGGAGGAAGCCCCGGCUAACUACGUGCCAGCAGCCGCGGUAAUACGUAGGGGGCAAGCGUUGUCCGGAAUUAUUGGGCGUAAAGGGCGCGUAGGCGGAUAGUUAAGUCCGGUGUGAAAGAUCAGGGCUCAACCCUGAGAGUGCAUCGGAAACUGGUUAUCUUGAGGACAGGAGAGGAAAGUGGAAUUCCUAGUGUAGCGGUGAAAUGCGUAGAUAUUAGGAGGAACACCAGUGGCGAGGGCGACUUUCUGGACUGUAACUGACGCUGAGGCGCGAAAGCGUGGGGAGCAAACAGGAUUAGAUACCCUGGUAGUCCACGCUGUAAACGAUGAGUGCUAGGUGUAGAGGGUAUCGACCCCUUCUGUGCCGCAGUUAACACAAUAGGCACUCC